rnacentral:misc_RNA from 1 species
UCUCCGUUGGUGAACCAGCGGAGGGAUCAUUAUAGAGUUACCAAACUCCAAACCCAUGUGAACUUACCAGUUUGUUGCCUCGGCGGAGCCUACCCUGUAGCUACCCUAUAAGGUGGCUACCCUGUAGCGCCCCGCCGGUGGAUUUUCAAACUCUUGUUAUUUAUAGUAAUCUGAGAGUCUUAUUUUAAAUAAGUCAAAACUUUCAACAACGGAUCUCUUGGUUCUGGCAUCGAUGAAGAACGCAGC